rnacentral:rRNA from 1 species
UACGUAGGGUGCAAGCGUUGUCCGGAAUUAUUGGGCGUAAAGGGUGCGUAGGUGGCCUGUUAAGUCAGGGGUGAAAGACGGUAGCUUAACUAUCGCAGUGCCUUUGAUACUGACGGGCUUGAAUCCACUUGAGGUAGGCGGAAUGUGACAAGUAGCGGUGAAAUGCAUAGAUAUGACACAGAACACCAAUUGCGAAGGCAGCUUACUAAAGUGGUAUUGACACUGAGGCACGAAAGCGUGGGGAUCAAACAGG